rnacentral:lncRNA from 1 species
AUAAAUAAACCCAUAAGAAGAGCGGAAAGCAGACCAGAGCCUCUGGGAGUUGGCCCUCACCUGCAGAAGAAAGCACAGAGAUUCUUCCUGGGGACUGAUGGUUCACAAGGGCACGAAGUGCAGUAUAUAAAAAGAGGAUAAUGACUUGACUUCAGUGCAGGAAAAGGCCCAAUGAACAGAGCAGCCAAGCUUGCCGGGACUAGAAUAGAUGAAAGUUUGGAGAAGAGUCGAGAAGAAAUGGCAUUGUCUGCAUGGAGAAACUCCCCAUUUUACAUACAGUACUUCUGAGAUGCUAAAGUAGACUUUCUGAAGUUCAAAGUUUAAAGAAGAAAGACUCAACUUUGAACGGUUCUGAGUGAGAAGCUGGAAUAAUGGUAGGCAGCCUUCUGAACUAUUCACAGUUGUCUAGUGUGUGCCUUCACUACAUGGACACUGAUGCAUUAGCUUUCUCUACAGGGCUGGCUUCAUGGGAGUGUAAUCUGUGCAGUCACACAGGACCUCAUCCCUAAAGAGGUCCUCCUGCACAAGGUCUAACACUCUGCAUAGCCAUCUUGAAAUUCUUAAUAAUUUUUGAACAAGAUAUCCCACAUUCUCAGUUUGCAUCGGGCCCAGCAAAUUAUGCAGCCAGUCCUGGUUUAGAAAGACAAAGAGCUGUCACUUUAUACAGUCCCAGACACCAGGUCUUUGCUGUGUCAGAAUUGUAUGAGGAGUUAAGAAUAUAAUUUACAUUGUAUAAACCUUCAAACUGCACAGAUACAUCUGUUUUUGUUUAUUUGUUUUGUUUGCAUUUUCAUUUCAUGUCUUGUUCCUGUUACAGGGAGAGAAGGGCCACAUUUUUUGUUUUUAUUGUUUAAUGCAUGCUAUUUUAAGAUUUCUCAAGAAGACAGCAGUCCCUGUCCAAAACUGUGUCUGUGUUCUGUGGUUAAUUCUAUUCUCCACAUUCUACAUGGAAUUCCUGAUUCAGGAUUCCCUUAUGUGAUUCCAUGACCAGAGAGGCUCAGGAGGAAAUGAAUCCCUUAUUGAAGUCAAGGGAGAACUGGAUUCAUCUUGGGGAGAUUUUUUCCUUCAUCUGCUGGGUAAGGAGAAAAACAAAAGAAAGGUCAGCUUUCCUGUUUCUCAGAGAACAGAGAUCAUAAUGUCUGCUGUUUCGUAAACCCACUCACAGUCCCCAUGUUAGUGACAACCAGAAGACGACAUUCUUGAAAGUAGAACAGAAAUUCAACUUAGCACUGUGGGGCAGUGUCUCCUCCACGAACUGGGAUUGGAAAUGUCUCAUAUUAAACCCAGAGUGGGACCAAGAACACACCGUAGAUGAUGGCUUGCUUUAAAUAAAAAUUAUGUCUUAAUGACACUUUACCUAACUGACUUUGGAAAGUAAUUCCCUGUCCAAGGAUUGAAGAGAUACAUCAUGCCAAGCUGUAUGAUACGUAAACUUUCCAUCCUUUUAAGUUUUCCUAAUUCUAAGAAGAAAUUAUGAUUAACAGUAAUAAUGACCACAAACAUAGUAAACAUACUAGGAUAAUGAUCACAAAUAGAGCUUGAAAUCCUGA